AACGAACGCUGGCGGCGUGCCUAACACAUGCAAGUCGAACGAAGCCUUCGGGCUUAGUGGCGCACGGGUGCGUAACGCGUGGGAAUCUGCCUCUUGCUUCGGAAUAACAGUGGGAAACUACUGCUAAUACCGGAUGAUGUCUUCGGACCAAAGAUUUAUCGGCAAGAGAUGAGCCCGCGUAGGAUUAGGUAGUUGGUGGGGUAAAGGCCUACCAAGCCGACGAUCCUUAGCUGGUCUGAGAGGAUGAUCAGCCACACUGGGACUGAGACACGGCCCAGACUCCUACGGGAGGCAGCAGUGGGGAAUAUUGGACAAUGGGGGCAACCCUGAUCCAGCAAUGCCGCGUGAGUGAUGAAGGCCUUAGGGUUGUAAAGCUCUUUUACCAGGGAUGAUAAUGACAGUACCUGGAGAAUAAG
rnacentral:rRNA from 1 species